UUAUUUUCAUUUUACUUAAAAUAUAUGUUUUUGUUAAGUUAACAUAUGUUUUUCUAAUCAAGUCUACGUAAUUGUGUCUAUUAUUCAACGUACAUAAUACUAAUGUGUUACUUGAUCGCAUAACAUUUAAGUUAAGUCAAUUAGGAUCGAUAUACCUUGUAUAUCCACAAGGUGGCAGUAAUGCAAAAACAGUUGUAAUGAAACCGCGCAGAACAAGAAGGUUUCACGGCUUGUGCCUGCUCAUGCGCAAGACUUCAAAUUUAACUGAAAAAGGCUGUUUUGGCGCCAAGCUGCUGUUUCUUUGAGAGGUAAGACCACUUUUUUCUUUGACUAUGUUGUGUAGUAUCUAUAUGUCCAGCAUGGUUAUAUUUUGCGUUUGUCUUACAAGACAUGUUAUAUCGUUUGCGUGCGCUUGUUUUACAUUAGUUUUACUGGGUCCUGGACAUGCUUAUUUUGUGGACUGUAUCCUGCCUUUACCUGCUCCCUCCUAUACUGAUGUGGUGUAUGUGGUACUGCUGAGCUUGUAUGUGGUGGAAGCAGAAUUUGUGAGGAUUACUACUGCUGCACAUGUUCCAAGGCUUUUUACACAACUUGACCAAUACACUGACCAGCUCAUAAAAGUCUUCAAGAAAAAAGGAGGCGUUGCAGGGAAGAAAAUUAGACAAACUUUGGCCCCAGCCACACAGGUGCGUUAUUCUGUUGGUAGCAAAAUAUUAUGGCUAAUAAGAUCAUUUUCAAAUUUAAACAGCUAGUGUAUGGUAGCUGCACAGUGCACUUACAUUUAUAUUAAGCAAGACAAAGUUUGGUACUCAAAACGUUGGAAAAUUUAAAUUACCUAAACAUAUGUAAAAUCUGAUCCCUUGAUUUAGGUUAAACCAGAAGUGAAUGUUUUUAUGUUAUGUUUUGAAUGCAAAAAAGAUGAUGUAUUAGUUUGUCUUUACCUCCAUUAUGGACAUAUAUAAUGUGGUGGAAACCCUGCCCAACAGGUUAACUAUUCAUGUCCAUGUGAUGAUUAGUUGGUCUUGUGUACAUGUCUAUCUGUGCAGUGGAUAUGUCAUUCAUUUUGCGUAUAAUGUGAGUUUCUGUCAUCCUAAAGUAUAUCUGUUUUCUCUUCCUGUAUCUCUGCCACUCUCUACAGAAG